CGGCGUGCCUAACACAUGCAAGUCAACUUGACGGAAGGAGCAAUCUGACCGUAGAGUGGCGCAAGGGUGCGUAACGCGUAAGUAACUUGCCCCAAGGUAAGGAAUAACGUCGAGAAAUCGGCGCUAAUACCUCAUAAUGCAGCGGAUCCGCACGGAUAUGUUGUUAAGGUUUACCGCCUUGGGAUAGGCUUGCGUCUGAUUAGCUAGUUGGUGUGGUAACGGCACACCAAGGCUACGAUCAGUAACUGGGUCUGAGAGGAUGAUCAGUCACACUGGAACUGAGACACGGUCCAGACUCCUACGGGAGGCAGCAGUGAGGAAUAUUGGGCAAUGCUCGAAAGAGUGACCCAGCAACGCCGCGUGGAGGAUGAAGGUGUUCUAUAUCGUAAACUCCUGUGAGAGCAGACGAAAGACAGAUUAUUAAUCUGGAUGACUGUAUGCUCAGAGGAAGCCCCGGCUAACUACGUG
rnacentral:rRNA from 1 species